rnacentral:rRNA from 1 species
UACGUAGGGUGCGAGCGUUGUCCGGAAUUAUUGGGCGUAAAGAGCUCGUAGGCGGUUUGUCGCGUCUGCUGUGAAAACUCGGGGCUUAACUCCGGGCCUGCAGUGGGUACGGGCAGACUAGAGUGCGGUAGGGGAGACUGGAAUUCCUGGUGUAGCGGUGAAAUGCGUAGAUAUUGGGAGGAACACCGGUGGCGAAGGCGGCUACCUGGACCGGCACUGACGCUGAGGCGCGAAAGCGUGGGGAGCAAACAGG